rnacentral:rRNA from 1 species
ACCGGCAGCUAGCUCUCUGCAACUCUUACAGGGUCACCCACUGUAGCUAACCAGGGCUGCGCCUAGACAGCACCUGAACGGGAGACCACAUGGGAAAGCAAGGUUGCUGCCGGAA